rnacentral:tRNA from 1 species
GGCUUUAUAUUCAAUAAUGAUAUUAGAUUGCAAUUCUAAAGGAGUAAUUAUAUAUUACUGAAGCUU